CUUGGGUGACUCGGAAAAGCGGCGACAUGAGAGAUGGUCCGGCCUCAGGAGACUUGGCACAGUGUCUUGGGUGACUCGGAAAAGCGACGACAUGAGAGAUGGUCCGGCCUCAGGAGACUUGGUACAGCACACUAUUGAAGGUUUGGUCCAGAUAAUGAGAGCUCAGAGAUGUUGCCGAUUGUUAGUGCACUCUUGAAUAUGGCAUAUCUUGCAUAUCAAGUUCUUAGACACAUGCGUACCC